rfam:Termitomyces sp. J132 unplaced genomic scaffold scaffold281, whole genome shotgun sequence.
ACACUGAUGGUGAAGUGGUUAUCAUGCUUGCCUUCCACUUUGACGUAAAUCCGAGGCCAGCAAGCGGCAGGGGUUCGAUUCCCCUUCAGUGUA